rnacentral:rRNA from 1 species
UCCGUAGGUGAACCUGCGGAAGGAUCAUUACAGAGUCCCUGCCCCUAGGGGUAGACCUCCAAACCCUUGUGUAUUAUUACGAAAUGUUGCUUUGGCGCGCCGUCCGCCCUGCGGAUCCGGGUACUGCCCGGCGUGCGCGCCAGAGGACCCCUAAACUCUGAGUAUUAGUGUCGUCUGAGUACUAUAUAAUAGUUAAAACUUUCAACAACGGAUCUCUUGGUUCUGGCAUCGAUGAAGAACGCAGCGAAAUGCGAUAAGUAAUGUGAAUUGCAGAAUUCAGUGAAUCAUCGAAUCUUUGAACGCACAUUGCACCCCUUGGUAUUCCGGGGGGUAUGCCUGUUCGAGCGUCAUUAUGACCUCUCCAGCCUGGCUGGGUGUUGGGCUCCGCUGUCGAGCGGGCCUUAAAAGCAGUGGCGGUGCUCCGAGGCUCUACGCGUAGUAAUUCUUCUCGCUAUAGGGUCCUGGGAGGUGCCAGCCAGCAACCUCAACUUUCUCAAGGUUGACCUCGGAUCAGGUAGGGAUACCCGCUGAACUUAAGCAUAUC